rnacentral:rRNA from 1 species
CCUACGGGAGGCUGCAGUGGGGAAUAUUGGACAAUGGGGGCAACCCUGAUCCAGCCAUGCCGCGUGUGUGAAGAAGGCCCUCGGGUUGUAAAGCACUUUCAGUGAGGAAGAACGCCUGGUGGUUAAUACCCAUCAGGAAAGACAUCACUCACAGAAGAAGCACCGGCUAACUCCGUGCCAGCAGCCGCGGUAAUACGGAGGGUGCGAGCGUUAAUCGGAAUUACUGGGCGUAAAGCGCGCGUAGGUGGCUUGAUAAGCCGGUUGUGAAAGCCCCGGGCUCAACCUGGGAACGGCAUCCGGAGCUGUCAAGCUAGAGUGCAGGAGAGGAAGGUAGAAUUCCCGGUGUAGCGGUGAAAUGCGUAGAGAUCGGGAGGAAUACCAGUGGCGAAGGCGGCCUUCUGGACUGACACUGACACUGAGGUGCGAAAGCGUGGGUAGCAAACAGGAUUAGAUACCCUGGUAGUC